rnacentral:lncRNA from 1 species
AAAAUAUACUAUUCAUUGCUGCUUCUAAGUCCAUUUGGAAUCACCAGCUUUGGGAACAUCAGGUUUCCACCAUCACAGUGCAUCUGUCUCUCCGUUUGCUUCGGUGACAAUGACUGCAGCUAUCUGUGUGGUACAUGCACAGGAUCAGAAGUGUCAUCUGGUUCUUCUUCAACAAGCGACUCAUCAGCACAUUUUUCUAAUUGUCUUUGUGCAUCAGCAGUUAUGAAGGAAGAUACGAGCAGAUACAAGUCACAGCUGGAAAACGAGGGGAAUGAUUUACACAUGAAUUUAUUUACACUCUCCAUGCGUGGAACCACGGCCUGCUCUGAAGCCUGGGGGACUUCUGUGGUUGGGCAAUGGAGCUCUCCAGUGGAAGAAGGCUCAGAGAAGAUAGGUGAGGAUGAUGUGCUCAUGAAGCUCAUAAAUACAUGUAGGAAGUAACCACAGCUGUUACAAAGGAAGCUGAACUUAUCUCAACAUGAGGGGAACCGGAGGGUGGCCUUUGUUUUAGAUAAAUAGCUCUAUCAGUUGAGUGGGUCAACUAGUUAUGUAAAUGUCUUCCCUAAAACAAUCAAUAGGGAGUGUUAUCUUCCUGAGCCAGCCACAUCAGCAUGGGGGAAGUGCAUCUGUGGCUCAGCCCAACAUAGAGUCUAAAAAUUAAGCAACCAAAUGAACCAUGAAGAGAUCGGUGGGCUUGAGCUGGGUUCAACCACUCAUGGAAAUCACCUUUGUAUCACAAUCCAGCUGCACCUUGCAAUUGUUGUAUUGUGUGCACUGUGAUUUCAGUAUAUUGCUGUGUCACUCGGGUACAUCAAACUCUCAGGCAAUGUCAAAUACUCCAAAAUAAGUAAAUUUGAUAUUAAAUAUUAAACCCUUCUCAUCUGGACUAUCCAAAAGAAGUUAGAGAGAGGGUAUAAGGCUCUGAUAACCUCAUGCCUUGCCCUCACCAGUAGACAGCUUUAGGAAUCGACUUCCUAAGCCCUUUGGAGCACAUUUCUCCUGCCAAUAAAGUUGGUUUCCUGUUCCCUGUGGAGGUUAUC